UUUAAAUAAAAAAACAUGUUAAUUAAAAUAAAAGCAAAUACCUGAAGAGCAGCAGUAAAAUAAAAUAACAGAAGGGAGGCUAUGUACAUUAUGGACCAUAACCGUGAACCAAUCGUCUUAAUACAUUCAUUUUAGGAGAAGGGGGAUUCUACUUUAUAUUCAAAAACAUAUAGUUUACCCAAUAUACGUUUUACAUUUUUAAAUGAAGUGGGUAAAGUUGGCAAUCAUUUUACAAGCAAAACAACACGGUCAGGAGUAGAAGAUUCCUUUCCAAAAGUUCCAAGCGGUCAAAACCGUAUGUUUUUGUGACAAGGGUGUCACCAAAGCUGUGUUGUAUUUAUUAGGUAAGUCAUAGUUUAUUUUCAAAGAUGCAUUACAAGGUAAAAAAAAAUAAAAAAAAUCACAAUCAUGACAAUUAAUCAUUACCCCAAAUUCCAUAAUGCUCACAGCCCUUCCUGAUACAUUUAUUUUAAGUAAAUCAGGGAAGCGUCAGAAGUAAGUAGUGUAUAUUGUUGCGGCCUUAACCCCAAUACCAGGAAUGGGAAUAUAUAGGGACAGUAGUGGAGUUAGUGACUGACAGAUCUGCUUAGAGGGCUCGAGGUCUGCUUAGAGCAACGAUUUUCACAUUUGGGUCGUGGGAGGUUUUGAAUGGGUCGUGGGUGACGGAGUAAAAAAAACAAACAUUUGGAAGUAAAAUGUUUCUAAAUAUUGUGUAUAGACACAUUUAUAACUAUCAUGAAUGGAACAAAAGUAAUUUGACAAUCCACAUUCUAGCCUCGGAAAUCCCAGACCUAUUCUGGAACAUUGUUACAUUUGUUGUAGGCAACCCGUCUGCCUGUAGGGAGACUAUCCACACUCCAUUUUCAUCUGUUUUCAGAUCAGUUACCUAGUCUCACCUAUAGGCCUUUGUAGUAGUACUAUAUUUUUAGGUGUGCAUGCAAAGCAAUGCACACCUCUAGGUUUCUUACAAACUCAUAUUAUUUUUAUUGUUAUUUGAUUUAUUUGGCUCGCUCUAGCGCUUAAACAAUUGAAGUUAUUAACACGAAACCAACUUCCAAAUGUGCAGACUGCCCCAACUCGGGUUGCUUGAGAAAAUAUGUUUGAUGGCAUUUAUACUUUUUGAACUAUAUAACAAUAUUGUAAAUCUGCUCCGAUGCAUGUCAAUGGGGGGGAAACGGGCCGUAGACUUGAAUGCUAAAAAGAUUAUUGCAAUUUGUACACAUAUCUCCUCUUUCACCGUUUAUGUUAUCAACUGCCCCAAAUGAGGUCGCUUGAGCGUUUCUUUCAGAUAGCAUUUAUACUUCUUGUACUACAACAAUAUUUAAAUGAGCUCCCAAUGCAUUUUAAUGGCAAUAAAAAUGCCAUAGACUUACAUGGGGGGAAUGUUGAAAUGUAGCUCCUCCUACACCAUUAAGCUGUCAAUUUAUACUUUUCAUACUAUAAGCAUCUAAUUUGCAUACAUUAACAUGGGUUUGAAAUAGAACCACAGUAAUACAGUGGUAGCUAUUUAAAAUGGUCCUGCUCCUUGGCCAGUUAAGCUAUAAGACCAACAGUUAAACAUUCAUGCUAUCCUAACUUCAAAUUCUUUAAGAUCUUAAUCAGUUAGGAUAGCAUGAAUGUUUAAACGUUUGUCUUAUAGCUUAAUUGGCCAAGGAGCAGGACCAUUUUAAAUAGCUACCACUGUAUUACUGUGGUUCUAUUUCAAACCCAUGUUAAUGUCUGCAAAUUAUAAUUAUAUAAAUUAACUAUGAUUAUAUACAUUUGCAUAAAAUAAAUCACCAACAGUAACUCUUGAACUGUUCAAGUUAGACACCAAACCAGCUUUCUCAUGUUCAGGCUAUCCUAUACAUUUGCAUAAAACAACAAAUUAUAUAAAUUAACUAUGAUUAUUUACAUUUGCAUAAAAUAAAUCACCAACAGUAACCCUUGAACUGUUCAAGCUACAUUCACCAAACCAAUUUUCAGUAUGUAGGUUAAUGUGUUCUUGGGAAGCCUAACAUGUUGUACAGGUCUGAUAGUAAUAUGCCUAUGGAGGUAAGACAGGGUGUACUGUAUGUCUUAUAGUAAUAUGCCUAUGUAGGUAAGACAGGGUGUACUGUAUGUCUGAUAGUAAUAUGCCUAUGUAGGUAAGACAGGGUGUACUGUAUGUCUUAUAGUAGUAUGCCUAUGUAGGUAAGACAGGGUGUACUGUAUGUCUUAUAGUAAUAUGCCUAUGUUUGGUAAGACAGGGUGUACUGUAUGUCUGAUAGUAAUAUGCCUAUGUAGGUAAGACAGGGUGUACUGUAUGUCUUAUAGUAAUAUGCCUAUGUUUGGUAAGACAGGGUGUACUGUAUGUCUGAUAGGCAUAUUACUAUGAAGGUAAGACAGGGUGUACUGUAUGUCUUAUAGUAAUAUGCCUAUGAAGGUAAGACAGGGUGUACUGUAUGUCUGAUAGUAAUAUGCCUAUGAAGGUAAGACUGGGUGUACUGUAUGUCUUAUAGUAAUAUGCCUAUGUAGGUAAGACAGGGUGUACUGUAUGUCUUAUAGUAAUAUGCCUAUGUAGGUAAGACAGGGUGUACUGUAUGUCUUAUAGUAAUAUGCCUAUGUAGGUAAGACAGGGUGUACUGUAUGUCUUAUAGUAAAAUGCCGGUGUAGGUAAGACAGGUGAAUUGUGCUGAAUUGUAAGCAAUGAGCUACUUACUGCGAGAGUGUCUGGGAAAUAAUUGUACUUUAUUCUUCUUUCCAGUUUUAACUGUUGUUGUAUUUAUCAGGAACAUAUUUGCUAUUUUCGGGUUAGAAUGAAUGGGGACGUAAAUUUCCCUAUUCUGUUACAUUUAUAUGCUUGUGAUAUACUUUUAUGUGAUUACCUUUACAUUUUAACGCAUAUCUACGGUGAUACACCUUGAAUAUAGCCCUAAGAGUCUGUCACUUUAAACAGGCAGGUUUGUACUCCUAAGGUAACUCAAUUAAUCUUUUAACGUUGACGUGUUUUGACAUUAACUCAGGGAGACCCCUGCUGGAGAAAUACUGCAACUUGAUCAUUUAUUUUCACAAAUAAUAAAGAUGUUAUUGCAUUGCUAAA